rnacentral:rRNA from 1 species
AUUGAACGCUGGUGGUAUGCUUAACACAUGCAAGUCGAACGGUAACAGGAAGAGCUUGCUCUUUGCUGACGAGUGGCGGACGGGUGAGUAACGCGUAGGAAUCUACCUAUCUGUGGGGGAUACCGUUUGGAAACGAACGUUAAUACCGCAUAAUAUCUUCGGAUUAAAAGUGGCACUUGUGCUGCUGCGGAUAGAUGAGCCUGCGUUAGAUUAGCUUGUUGGUGGGGUAAAGGCCUACCAAGGCUGCGAUCUAUAGCUGAUUUGAGAGGAUGAUCAGCCACAUUGGAACUGAGACACGGUCCAA